rnacentral:snRNA from 1 species
GUGCAUGCACAUAUACUAAAAGUGGAAUGAUACAGAGAGGAUUAGCAUGGCCCCUGCACAAGGAUGACACACAAAUUCGUGAAGCGUUCCAUGUUUUU